GCGGACGUGGCGGAAUGGUAGACGCCGGGGACUUAAAAUCCCUUGAUCCUUGAUCGUGCGGGUUCGAGUCCCGCCGUCCGCACCA
rnacentral:tRNA from 9 species